rnacentral:rRNA from 1 species
CACGUAGGGGGCGAGCGUUGUCCGGAUUUAUUGGGCGUAAAGAGCGUGUAGGCGGCCAGGUAGGUCUGGUGUGAAAACUCGAGGCUUAACCUUGAGAUGUCAUCGGAAACCAUUUGGCUAGAGUCCGGAAGAGGAAAGUGGAAUUCCUGGUGUAGCGGUGAAAUGCGCAGAUAUCAGGAAGAACACCAAUGGCGAAAGCAGCUUUCUGGGACGGUACUGACGCUGAGACGCGAAAGCGUGGGGAGCGAACAGG